AUAUAUUUUCACAUAGGGUCAAUGUUAAACUUUUGCCUUGUUUCCAUGACAAUGGCAGCCAUUUUGGAACUUCUUAAUAUCGCAUGCACAUCUGGUUAUAUCAGGUAACAUUUCUAUAAAGUUUCAUCCACUUUGGUCUAAUAAUGAAAGAUUUAGAAUUUCGAUUUUUUUUCACAUUUUGUCAGUUUCCAUGACAACGGCCGCCAUCUUGGAUAUGCCAUACCCUGUUUGCACAUCUGCACAUGCUGGGCAACAUAAUGGUACACUCCCAUGACCAUUGGUUCAUACAGUUCCAAGAUAUAAGCUGGAAAA
rnacentral:lncRNA from 1 species